rnacentral:rRNA from 1 species
CACGUAGGGUGCGAGCGUUGUCCGGAAUUAUUGGGCGUAAAGAGCUCGUAGGCGGCUCGGUAAGUCGGAUGUGAAACCUCCAGGCUCAACCUGGAGACGCCAUCUGAUACUGCCGUGGCUUGAGUCCGGUAGAGGAGCAGGGAAUUCCUGGUGUAGCGGUGAAAUGCGCAGAUAUCAGGAGGAACACCAGCGGCGAAGGCGCUGCUCUGGGCCGGUACUGACGCUGAGGCACGAAAGCGUGGGGAGCAAACAGG